CUCUCCCUGCCCGUCACCCUUGGACAGCCGGCCUCCAUCUCCUGCAGGUCUAGUCAAAGCCUCGUAUACAGUGAUGGAAACACCUACUUGAAUUGGUUUCAGCAGAGGCCAGGCCAAUCUCCAAGGCGCCUAAUUUAUAAGGUUUCUAACCGGGACUCUGGGGUCCCAGACAGAUUCAGCGGCAGUGGGUCAGGCACUGAUUUCACACUGAAAAUCAGCAGGGUGGAGGCUGAGGAUGUUGGGGUUUAUUACUGCAUGCAAGGUACACACUGGCCUCCCACAGUGGUACAGCCCUGAACAAAAACCUCCCU
rnacentral:lncRNA from 1 species